CCAAAUCUUAACGUUAAUAUGCUCUAUUCUGUACCAUAUUCAUGCUCAUGCAUCACCAGUUACUGCUUUUUUUGCUUGGUCUACUUUGGCUCAUAACCUAUGUAUACCAAAACUGACUAAAUGAUUUCUCCAACUUGCUAAAAUUGUCAUAAUUGUCUCCUGCCUUGUGAUGUUAGUCUCUGUGCACUUACUAGUAUUGUUAGUUGAAUUGAUGGUCGUGGUAGUAGAAUAGGAAUUUUCUUUAGGUUAGUGUUAUAGUGAUGUUCAUUUCAUUACCUAAACUUUGUACCAAUGUACCAUGCAGGUAUGUAUAGAUUAUUAUUGUAGAACAACAUCAGGUUAAUCUGUUGCAUUCAAGUUGUUGGAAGCUUUGUUAUGCCAUGCUUAGUGUUUACUGAAUUGGGGCAUUUGUUCAUGUAUGUAUAAAUUUUAGCCUCUUGAAAGAAUAUUAUUUACUUCCAGUGUAUUUCACUAAUAACUUAUCUGGAUCAGGAUCUAAUGUUGUCGAGGUUGCUGCUGCUGUGACAGAAGAUCAGAAGAAGCUUGGAGAUGCGCUCCAUAGUUUUAGUUGAUGUUGCCACCAAGUUUUGGUGCUUGUGUAUCUGUUUUUGAUUGUAUGUGCACUUGUUGGACGUGCAAACGUGUAUGUGCUCUUGUUAGUAUUUGACUGGAUGAUUUCUGGAUUUAAUCAGUUAAUUGAGAGAUUUAUUGAUUUUUUGCUGUUCAAAUGUGUAAAUUGAAAUCUGUGAAUGAAAAGACCAAAUGUUCUACUUGACAAAAUAAUAUUUGGGCCCUAAAAAGGCUG
rnacentral:lncRNA from 1 species